rnacentral:rRNA from 1 species
GCGGGCGUAGCAAUACGUCAGCGGCAGACGGGUGAGUAACGCGUGGGAACAUACCUUUUGGUUCGGAACAACACAGGGAAACUUGUGCUAAUACCGGAUAAGCCCUUACGGGGAAAGAUUUAUCGCCGAAAGAUUGGCCCGCGUCUGAUUAGCUAGUUGGUGAGGCAACGGCUCACCAAGGCGACGAUCAGUAGCUGGUCUGAGAGGAUGAUCAGCCACAUUGGGACUGAGACACGGCCCAAACUCCUACGGGAGGCAGCAGUGGGGAAUAUUGGACAAUGGGCGCAAGCCUGAUCCAGCCAUGCCGCGUGAGUGAUGAAGGCCCUAGGG